rnacentral:rRNA from 1 species
AUUGAACGCUGGCGGCACGCCUUACACAUGCAAGUCGAACGGUAACGCGGGGCAACCUGGCGACGAGUGGCGAACGGGUGAGUAAUGCAUCGGAACGUGCCCAGUAGUGGGGGAUAGCCCGGCGAAAGCCGGAUUAAUACCGCAUACGACCUACGGGUGAACGCGGGGGACCGUAAGGCCUCGCGCUAUUGGAGCGGCCGAUGUCAGAUUAGGUUGUUGGUGGGGUAAAAGCCUACCAAGCCGACGAUCUGUAGCUGGUCUGAGAGGACGACCAGCCACACUGGGACUGAGACACGGCCCAGACUCCUACGGGAGGCAGCAGUGGGGAAUUUUGGACAAUGGGGGCAACCCUGAUCCAGCCAUGCCGCGUGCGGGAAGAAGGCCUUCGGGUUGUAAACCGCUUUUGUCAGGGAAGAAACGCUCUGGGCUAAUACCCCGGGGUAAUGACGGUACCUGAAGAAUAAGCACCGGCUAACUACGUGCCAGCAGCCGCAGUAACAC